rnacentral:misc_RNA from 1 species
GAUGAAGAACGCAGUGAAAUGCGAUAAGUAAUGUGAAUUGCAGAAUUCAGUGAAUCAUCGAAUCUUUGAACGCACAUUGCGCCCGCCAGUAUUCUGGCGGGCAUGCCUGUUCGAGCGUCAUUUCAACCCUCAGGCCCCCAGUGCCUGGUGUUGGGGAUCGGCCCAGCCUUCCUGUAAGGCCGCCGGCCCCGAAAUCUAGUGGCGGUCUCGCUGUAGUCCUCCUCUGCGUAGUAGCACAACCUCGCAGUUGGAACGCGGCGGUGGCCAUGCCGUUAAACACCCCACUUCUGAAAGUUGACCUCGGAUCAGGUAGGAAUACCCGCUGAACUUAAGCAUAUCAAUAAGCGGAGGA